ensembl:rRNA 5S_rRNA 5S ribosomal RNA
GUCUACAGCCAUACCACCCUGAAUAUGCCCUAUCUUGUCUGAUAUCGGAAGCUAAGCAGGGUCGGGCCUGGUUAGUACUUGGAUGGGAGAUCAGUUAUCAACUUUGAAUGUCAGUGGUCU